rnacentral:rRNA from 1 species
GAUGAACGCUGGCGGCGUGCCUAAUACAUGCAAGUCGAGCGAACAGACCAUGAGCUUUCUCCUCUGACGUUAGCGGCGGACGGGUGAGUAACACGUGGAUAACCUACCUAUAAGACUGGGAUAACUUCGGGAAACCGGAGCUAAUACCUGCUAAUAUCUUGAACCGCAUUAUUCCAUAUUGAAAGACGGUUUUGCUGUCACUUAUAGAUUGAUCCGCGCCGCAUUAGCUAGUUGGUAAGGUAACGGCUUACCAAGGCAACGAUGCAUAGCCGACCUGAGAGGGUGAUCGGCCACACUGGAACUGAGACACGGUCCAGACUCCUACGGGAGGCAGCAGUAGGGAAUCUUCCGCAAUGGGCGAAAGCCUGACGGAGCAACGCCGCGUGAGUGAUGAAGGUCUUCGGAUCGUAAAACUCUGUUAUUAGGGAAGAACAAAUGUGUAAGUAACUAUGCACGUCUUGACGGUACCUAAUCAGAAAGCCACGGCUAACUACGUG